AAGACGCAAUAAGCAGCCCUCCCCGCACUGACCCAGCUCUUACCUGUGCACUUGUAGGAGGGAGGCCGGCAAGUCAUCUCUGCCCAUUCCUCCCUUUCUUUUUAUAGGAUCCCUCCUGCCCUCGUGGCUUGCUUUCCCAGAAGUAAGGGAAAUGAAACUAAUGGCUUGCCCUAGAAACGAAACCAUUAGCCUGCCACAGAAAUGAAACCUGAAGCGUCCAUCCAUUUCCUGCUGCUUCACACAGUGAUCCUGACUUCAGCUGCAUCAGUCUCCUGGUGGGCUCGUGAACCACAGGGAGGGGCGGGGUGGGGGGGCGCGGGUAACGGGGCUAACAGGUUCUCCGGCAGGCCGGGGCUGACCACACUUGGAGAAUGGGUCACUUAGCAUGGCGCUGCCCAGGCCUUUCUGAGAUUCUGUGUGCUGCCACUCUCUGCCCGUAUUAAGCUCUGAACAUUCCAGGAAGGGACAUCCACAGCUCCUCCACAGCAUCCUUCAUGGUGGAUGCCUUUGCAGCUCCAGGAAAGGCACAGGGAAGACACUGCAGAGGCCAGACAAAGUGGGACCACUUCCAUGGAGGCAGCGAGGGAAGUUCGCUAAGGAGGUGGCUGAGGACCCACCCUCCCCAGCAGUACAGCAGCGCCCCUCGGCAUGCCCUUCAGGAAGUCUCUCUGGGAAGGAUCAGGGCCUCAGCAGCAUCAAGAGACCAUGCAGUGUCUCCCCCACUAAUGGCUUGAGGAGGUGAGGAACUGGGAGCCUGUGCACAGGGACCCUCCUUCAGCCUGGCCCCCAUGCUCAGAAUUGAGCCUCCACUGCCCUGCAGCCCAUCUACAACCAUGGAGGACUCAGCACUGCUGUCAGCCACUGAGACUUGGGGAGUCGGGUCCUGCAAGGAUGCUGAAAUUCAGGGUGACACAUACUGCCAUGUUUUUAAAAGGAGGCCUGCUGAUAAACGUACUUGAAAACCGUUCAAAAAAAAAAAAAAAAAGAAAACCGUUCAUCUGUUCCAACCCCUCUAUGGAUAGAUGAGAAACUGGAGGCUGGAUAAGCACUAUCAAGCUGGCAUCAAAGUCUCCUAUCGUUUCUGGGAGCCAGAUUUGGGAGGGAGGUCAGAAAGAGCAUUUGGCAAUGACUUGGUUUUCUUAACCCCAAGGCACUGGGCAUCUUGGUAUGUGGAUCUACUGUGUGUCUCCUAGGAAGUCUGGGUUGUACAGUGGUCCUCCUGAGAGCAGCCCCUGCCCACCCAGCCCAUCAGAGAUCCCUCCUCCCCAUCCUGUUAAACAAGGUGCCACUGGAGCAACACCCCUGCAUGGAGGCAGACACUGAAUCUCUUCACCAUCAUAUUGCUUGUGCCUGAGUUAGGCGCACCCACAUUUGUGGGAUGAAUGAAUAAGUUCAGGGACCUGCAGGGAGAGCUCAAGAAGGUUGACCCAAGAAGGUAGCUAAGCCCUAUGGCUGCUGCUCAUUGUCCCUGUGAGAUGACCGUCCAUAACAAGGGUGUGCUCCGUGGUCGGAGAAUAAAGGUUUUCUCUCUGCAGAGCUAUCUGGACCA
ensembl:lncRNA